UACGAAGGGGGCUAGCGUUGCUCGGAAUGACUGGGCGUAAAGGGCGCGUAGGCGGCUUGUAUAGUCGGAUGUGAAAUUCCUGGGCUUAACCUGGGGGCUGCAUACGAGACGUAUGGGCUUGAGUCCGGAAGAGGAGAGUGGAAUUCCCGGUGUAGCGGUGAAAUGCGCAGAUAUCGGGAAGAACACCCGUGGCGAAGGCGGCUCUCUGGGACGGUACUGACGCUGAGACGCGAAAGCGUGGGGAGCGAACAGG
rnacentral:rRNA from 1 species